rnacentral:rRNA from 1 species
GACGAACCGUGCGAACGUUGUUCGGAAUCACUGGGCGUAAAGCGCACGUAGGCGGCUUCUUAAGUCAGGGGUGAAAUCCUGGAGCUCAACUCCAGAACUGCCUUUGAUACUGAGAGGCUUGAGUCCGGGAGAGGUGAGUGGAACUGCGAGUGUAGAGGUGAAAUUCGUAGAUAUUCGCAAGAACACCAGUGGCGAAGGCGGCUCGCUGGCCCGGUACUGACGCUGAGGUGCGAAAGCGUGGGGAGCGAACAGG